GACGAACGCUGGCGGCGUGCCUAAUACAUGCAAGUCGAGCGGACCAAAGGGAGCUUGCUCCUGGAGGUCAGCGGCGAACGGGUGAGUAACACGUGGGCAACCUGCCUGUAAGACUGGGAUAACAUCGAGAAAUCGGUGCUAAUACCGGAUAAUAAAAAGAACUGCAUGGUUCUUUUUUGAAAGAUGGUUUCGGCUAUCACUUACAGAUGGGCCCGCGGCGCAUUAGCUAGUUGGUGAGGUAACGGCUCACCAAGGCAACGAUGCGUAGCCGACCUGAGAGGGUGAUCGGCCACACUGGGACUGAGACACGGCCCAGACUCCUACGGGAGGCAGCAGUAGGGAAUCUUCCGCAAUGGACGAAAGUCUGACGGAGCAACGCCGCGUGAGUGAUGAAGGUUUUCGGAUCGUAAAACUCUGUUGUUAGGGAAGAACAAGUGCCGUUCGAAAGGGCGGCACCUUGACGGUACCUAACGAGAAAGCCACGGCUAACUACGUGCCAGCAGCCGACGG
rnacentral:rRNA from 1 species